GCACUCACUUCAGCACCAUACAUGGUAAAAUUGGACCUAUACAGAGCAGAUUAGCAUGGCCCCUAUGCAAGGAUGACAUGCAAAUUCUUUUAGUGUUCCAUAUUUUU
ensembl:snRNA U6 U6 spliceosomal RNA